rnacentral:rRNA from 1 species
UACGUAGGGUGCGAGCGUUGUCCGGAAUUAUUGGGCGUAAAGGGCUCGUAGGCGGUUUGUCGCGUCGGGAGUGAAAACCAGGUGCUUAACACCUGGCUUGCUUUCGAUACGGGCAGACUAGAGGUAUUCAGGGGAGAACGGAAUUCCUGGUGUAGCGGUGAAAUGCGCAGAUAUCAGGAGGAACACCGGUGGCGAAGGCGGUUCUCUGGGCAUUACCUGACGCUGAGGAGCGAAAGCAUGGGGAGCGAACAGG